rnacentral:hammerhead_ribozyme from 1 species
AGUUAGCUGACGAAUCACAAAUAGGAUGAAACGAUCGUCCUGGAU